rnacentral:snRNA from 1 species
GUGAUCACUUCAGCAGCACAUAUAACUAAAAUUUGAAUGAUACAGAGAUUAGCACGGCCCCUGUGUAAGGAUAACAUGCAAAUUCAAGAAGCAUUCCAUAUUUGU